rnacentral:rRNA from 1 species
GUAGUCCACGCCGUAAACGAUGGAUACUUGGUGUUGGAGGUUUUGACCCCUUCAGUGCCAAAGCUAACGCGUUAAGUAUCCCGCCUGGGAAGUACGGUCGCAAGAUUAAAACUCAAAGAAAUUGACGGGGGCCCGCACAAGCGGUGGAGCAUGUGGUUUAAUUCGAUGCAACGCGAAAAACCUUACCUGGCCUUGACAUGUACUGGAAGACUACCAGAAAUGGUGUCGCCUUCGGGCCGGUACACAGGUGCUGCAUGGCUGUCGUCAGCUCGUGUCGUGAGAUGUUGGGUUAAGUCCCGCAACGAGCGCAACCCUUAUUUCUAGUUGCCAGCAUUUAGUUGGGCACUCUAGAGAGACUGCCGACUUUAAGUCGGA